AUUUGAGGAGCUGUUGGCGGUUGAUAGCUGCUGAGGGAAGGAGAAUCACUCUUAAGAGUUUUUUUCUGGUAGGUUCCGCAUGUUUCAGUGAAUGGCUCCAUUCUCAUGGACUAACUGGGUUUAUUAGUAGGUUAGCCAAAAAUAGAAGAAAAAAAAUGAGGUUGGGAGGGGAAUAUGAUGGGAGAGAGAUGAAGGAGUUGGAAAAUAGGGGUUAGAUACGGUAUUUCACUGUAUAUGUGUAUCAAAAUCUCAAAAAUUAUAGAGAAGUUAUAAUUUUUAAAAGUUCAGUAUAAUUGUAAUACUGUGCAGCAGAUUCCCAAAACUCUUACAACUACAAUUCUCAACCCUUAAAUCCAUCCUUAGGCCCCUAGCACCUAUCAUUUUACUUCCUAUUUUUUUGAGUUUGACUGUUGUAAGAUAGCACAUAUGGGUGCAGUCACAGGCUUCUGUUUUAUCAUAAUGUCAUCAAGGUCCGUCCAUUUUGCAUGGCAGGAAUUUUUCUUUCUUUUCAGAAGUUGAGGAAAGUUUUAUUGUUUAAUUCUGGCUGGCCUCAAACUCUUGGCAAUCCUCCUGCCUCAGUCUCGGGAAUUCUAGAGUUCGAAGCUUGUGACAUCAUUCCUUGCUUUUACCAAGCUAGGAAACUGUGUGCACCUCAUUCUUUAUCCAUUUUUCUGGUUUAUUUGGGUUGCACUCAUCUUUGCUAAUGUGUCUAAUGAAUAUACAGAUACAUCUUUGAAAUACAGCUUUUCAUACUGUGUAUGUCAGAUGGGAAGUGAGGUUGCUAGCGUGUAUGGUCUUCCUAUUUCUAAUUUUUGAGAAAUCUCUGCUGUUUUCCAUAGCUGUUGUAUCAUUUUACAUUCUCACCAGGGAUAUAAAUUUUUCUUGUUUUUGUUUGCUUUGGUCUGGUUUUUCAAAACAGUAUUUCUCUGUGAAGCUCUGGAUCUCCUGGAACUUGCACCCACUCAACGCUGUAGGUUGUUUUUCAUUCUGUUUUCGGUUAACUUAAUUGUAUUGUUUUCUCUUUAUUUGUUUCUGUUUUAUGAGCCAGAGUCUUGUUUGUAUAUCCUAGACUGGUUUCAACUUGCUAGAUAGCCAGGGCUGGCUCGAACUACUACUGCUCUUCCUGGCUCAGUUUUCAGAGUGCUAGAGAAAAUAGAUAAGUCAAUAACUCUAGGCCUGAGUUAUUGACUUGUAUAUAUGAAAGGACUCUGCCUUUGGUGUCAUACCUAGGAAAUCACUAAAUAUAUCUAUGCAGCUUUCCCAUGAGGUUGUACGCCUUACAGUUGUAUUGGUAACCCAUUAAACUAAAGAAAAUG
rnacentral:lncRNA from 1 species